AACGAACGCUGGCGGCAGGCCUAACACAUGCAAGUCGAAGGAGAAGCCAUCUUCGGAUGGUGGAAACUGGCGCACGGGUGAGUAACGCGUGGGUAUCUACCUUGGGGUGGGGAAUAACCGCUGGAAACGGCGGCUAAUACCGCAUACGCCUUUAGAGGGAAAGCUCCGGCGCCCUAAGAGGAGCCCGCGUUGGAUUAGCUUGUUGGUGGGGUAACGGCCUACCAAGGCUACGAUCUAUAGCUGGUCUGAGAGGAUGAUCAGCCACACUGGAACUGACACACGGUCCAGACUCCUACGGGAGGCAGCAGUGAGGAAUUUUGCGCAAUGGGGGAAACCCUGACGCAGCAACGCCGCGUAGAGUGAUGAAGGCUUUCGGGUCGUAAAGCUCUGUCAAGUGGGAGAGAACCUGCCUAGUGCUAAUAUCACCGGGCACUGACGGUACCACUGAAGGGAAGCACCGGCUAACUCCGUGCCAGCAGCCGCGGUAACACGGGGGGUGCAAGCGUUAUUCGGAAUCACUGGGCGUAAAGAGCGCGUAGGCGGUCUCUUAAGUCAGAUGUGAAAGCCCGGGGCUUAACCUCGGAAAGUGCAUUUGAAACGAAGGGACUUGAGUAUGGGAGAGGGAAGUGGAAUUCCUGGUGUAGCGGUGAAAUGCGUAGAUAUCAGGAGGAACACCGGUGGCGAUGGCGACUUCCUGGACCAAUACUGACGCUGAGGCGCGAAGGCGUGGGGAGCAAACAGGAUUAGAUACCCUGGUAGUCCACGCAGUAAACGUUGAACACUAGGUGUAGCGGGUAUUGACCCCUGCUGUGCCGCAGCUAACGCAUUAAGUGUUCCGCCUGGGGAGUACGGCCGCAAGGCUAAAACUCAAAGGAAUUGACGGGGGCCCGCACAAGCGGUGGAGCAUGUGGUUUAAUUCGACGCAACGCGAAGAACCUUACCUGGGUUUGACAUCCCGGGAAUUCUGUAGAAACACAGAAGUGCCCUUCGGGGAGCCCGGUGACAGGUGCUGCAUGGCUGUCGUCAGCUCGUGUCGUGAGAAUGUUGGGUUAAGUCCCGCAACGAGCGCAACCCCUAUCUUUAGUUACCAGCAUUUAGUUGGGGACUCUAGAGAUACUGGUCCCCGGUAACGGGGAGGAAGGUGGGGAUGACGUCAAGUCCUCAUGGCCUUUAUGCCCAGGGCUACACACGUGCUACAAUGGGCUGUACAAAGGGUAGCGACAUCGCAAGGUGAAGCCAAUCCCGUAAAGCAGUUCGUAGUUCGGAUUGGAGUCUGCAACUCGACUCCAUGAAGUUGGAAUCGCUAGUAAUCGUGGAUCAGCAUGCCACGGUGAAUACGUUCCCGGGCCUUGUACACACCGCCCGUCACACCAUGAGAGUUGGUUGUACCAGAAGUCGUUGGACCAACCCCUUUCGGGGGGGUAGGCGCCUAAGGUAUGGCUGAUGAUUGGGGUG
rnacentral:rRNA from 1 species